rnacentral:lncRNA from 1 species
AUGAGCAAGUACUGUUUGUUGUCAACUCCGGAUAGCGGACAAUAAUGGUUUAUUCAAAUUUUGCCGUGACAUAGCGCCACUAUUUGACAGCAAUACUUCGUAGUUUGUACUACAUAGUGUAUCGCGGAACAUAGCUGUGACGCCGCUAUAGCUUAUGCUUGACUUGACAUCUUAUGAGACCGUUUGAGAGAGUUUAUGGUUGUCAUCACAUGUCCAUAAGUUAUUUUCAGCUUAUUU